rnacentral:rRNA from 1 species
AGCGAACGCUGGCGGCAGGCCUAACACAUGCAAGUCGAACGAACUCUUCGGAGUUAGUGGCGGACGGGUGAGUAACACGUGGGAACGUGCCUUUAGGUUCGGAAUAACUCAGGGAAACUUGAGCUAAUACCGGAUGUGCCCUUCGGGGGAAAGAUUUAUCGCCUUUAGAGCGGCCCGCGUCUGAUUAGCUAGUUGGUGAGGUAAAGGCUCACCAAGGCGACGAUCAGUAGCUGGUCUGAGAGGAUGAUCAGCCACAUUGGGACUGAGACACGGCCCAAACUCCUACGGGAGGCAGCAGUGGGGAAUUUUGCGCAAUGGGCGAAAGCCUGACGCAGCCAUGCCGCGUGAAUGAUGAAGGUCUUAGGAUUGUAAAAUUCUUUCACCGGGGACGAUAAUGACGGUACCCGGAGAAGAAGCCCCGGCUAACUUCGUG